UACGGGGGGGGGUAAGCGUUGUUCGGAAUUACUGGGCGUAAAGGGCGCGUAGGCGGCCUGGCAAGUGGAAGGUGAAAUCCCUCGGCUUAACCGAGGAACUGCCUCCCAAACUGCUUGGCUUGAGACCGGGAGAGGUGAGUGGAAUUCCCAGUGUAGCGGUGAAAUGCGUAGAUAUUGGGAGGAACACCAGUGGCGAAGGCGGCUCACUGGACCGGUACUGACGCUGAUGCGCGAAAGCGUGGGGAGCAAACAGG
rnacentral:rRNA from 1 species